rnacentral:rRNA from 1 species
UUGAAACACGGACCAAGGAGUCUAACAUGGACGCGACUCAUUGGGUUGUUAAACCUAAAGGCGAAAUGAAAGUGAAGGUCACCUCUGGUGGCUGAUAUGGGAUCCGUGGCUUGCUGCGGCGCACCAUAGUCCCAUCCCGUGGGCAUUGUCCCUGGGGUGGAGAUAGAGCGUGCAUGUUGGGACCCGAAAAAUGGCAAACUUAACGUGAUCAGGGUGAAGCCAGAGGAAACUCUGGUGGAGGCCCAUACAGGUUCUGACGUGCAAAUCGAUCUGAAGAAUUGCGUUAAGGGGCGAAAGACUAAUCGAGCUGUCUAGUAGCUGGUCCA